AAACCUUUUUCUAUUUUGGGCAAUCUGCUAAGAGUUUUCUCCACCCACUUUCAGGAAGACCUCUGAAUCUUUAUACUCAGGGUCAAAGUUAUGGUCAUGGCCAGACAGUUUUCAUGAGGAAACUCACAUUGUCUCUUAUAAAGCAAUUUUUUUGGUUAAUAUUUAUUUUUGAAAGAUAAGUUGCAAAUAAAAACUGUAUUCCUUAAAUAGACUAACUGCAGUUGCCUACAGAGCCCAUUUCUAAAGACUCUGGAACAUCAGAAUACCAGAAUACCAAUACUACAGGUGACUCAAGAGCUGGUGUUGGGGAUGAGAGAAUGCAGGCCUUCAGCAGGGAGGAGAAUUGCCCAAGGCCACUCACCUGCUGCACUCAUUACUGGAAUAUCAGUCAAGACCGGAAGUCUUUGAUCCCCAUGAUCAAGAGGAACAUUUUCUAUCUUGACAAGUGUAAGCCACCACAUUUCUGAGGAAGUGUGGCAUAGUCUGGGUGAUCCCUAAAGAAUGCAGAGCUCCCUCCUCUCUGUGACUAAGUCUAGGUUGGAGCACUGGGAAGCCAUUAAGAAGAGAAAGGAGGGAAUAAAGUAAGAUAGCAGAAAAUGGGAGCUCAAGGAGAUCCUGGAGCAGAGACAAGAACGCUCCACAAAUCUGGCAUGACAUUCCCUGUAUUUCCUGCCUGCUCCCAGUCAGCUGGGGCUGUAUGGUUCGCUCUGGCCAGUGGGCUAUGAGUGGAAGGUGAUGUGUGACAUCCUCCCUAUGGCACCAAGAAGCAAGUGGGACAACUUCACAAGUUACAUCUGCUGAGGUGAACCCUGGAGCCUUGUCUGUGAUGGUGGCUCACUAGCUCUAUGCGGCCUGGAUCCCUGAGACACUGUGUGGAGAACAGCUACCCUUGGAGUCCUUGGACCUGCAGAGGGUUUUGAAUGUGCAAGGAAUCAAUGUGUGUUUUCUUUCUUUUUUUUUUAAAUGUGUUUUUUCUUAAGCCAUUGAAACUUUUCUUUUUAAAUUUUUAAGGAAAAUGAAUUUAAGUCGAUACCUUAAAUAGUAUAACUUUUAGUUUAAAAACAUUUACACAGCACUUUAUGAAGCAUAUUUUCAUAGAUAUUUCCUUUAAAGUUCACUGCGCUGCUAAGGUAAUUUUUCUUUCUUUUGACUUUUAUUUUGACUAAAUUUCAGGCUUCUAGAAAAAUUGUAAGAAGAGCACAAAGGAUUCCUGCAUACCCUUUACCCAGAUUGCCCAAAUAUUGCCGUUUUACUGCGUUGCUUCUUUCCUCUCUCUCUCUCUCUAUAUAUAUAUACAUACAUAUACAUUUAUAUAUGAAGUAACUUUUUUCUGAACUGUUUGAGAGAAAGCUGCAGAUAUGAUGCCCCUUCAUCUAUAACUACUUCACUGUGUUCCCCCAAAACAAAGACAUUAGGGUCAUGUGUUCUGCUGCAUAGCAUAGCUUAUUCUAGACCAAUACAGACAACCUUCAUGGCAUUGUUAAAUGGGGAAGGUUUAAUAGAGACUGGAGAAGCAGCAGGACAGAGGUCAUAAAGUGCUUUCAAGGAAACCAGCUCAGAAUUUGAGAGAUUAGAAUCUUUUUUUUUU